rnacentral:rRNA from 1 species
UUUUCCUACGGGGGGCAGCAGUGGGGAAUAUUGCACAAUGGGGGAAACCCUGAUGCAGCGACGCCGCGUGAGUGAAGAAGUAUUUCGGUAUGUAAAGCUCUAUCAGCGGGGAAGAAAAUGACGGUACCUGACUAAGAAGCCCCGGCUAACUACGUGCCAGCAGCCGCGGUAAUACGUAGGGGGCAAGCGUUAUCCGGAUUUACUGGGUGUAAAGGGAGCGUAGACGGCAGAGCAAGUCCGGAGUGAAAGCCCGGGGCCCAACCCCGGGACUGCUCUGGAAACUGUUAAGCUAGAGUGCGGGAGGG